rnacentral:rRNA from 1 species
CCUACGGGCGGCAGCAGUGGGGAAUAUUGGACAAUGGGCGAAAGCCUGAUCCAGCCAUGCCGCGUGUGUGAAGAAGGCCUUCGGGUUGUAAAGCACUUUCAGUGGGGAAGAAAGCCUUGGGGCUAAUACCCUCGAGGAAGGACAUCACCCACAGAAGAAGCACCGGCUAACUCCGUGCCAGCAGCCGCGGUAAUACGGAGGGUGCGAGCGUUAAUCGGAAUUACUGGGCGUAAAGCGCGCGUAGGCGGUCUGAUAAGCCGGUUGUGAAAGCCCCGGGCUCAACCUGGGAACGGCAUCCGGAACUGUCAAGCUAGAGUGCAGGAGAGGAAGGUAGAAUUCCCGGUGUAGCGGUGAAAUGCGUAGAGAUCGGGAGGAAUACCAGUGGCGAAGGCGGCCUUCUGGACUGACACUGACGCUGAGGUGCGAAAGCGUGGGUAGCAAACAGGAUUAGAUACCCUAGUAGUC